rnacentral:SRP_RNA from 1 species
GCCGGGUGCGGUGGCAUGUGCCUGUAAUCCAAGUCACUGGGAGGCUGAGGUUGGUGGAUCAAGUGAGCUGAGGAGCUCUGGGCUGCAGCACACUAUGUGGAACGGGUGUCCACGCUAAGUUCGGUAUCGAUAUGGUGUUCCUGGGGAGCCCGGGACCACCAGGUUGUCUAAGGAGGGGUGAACCGGCCCAGGUCGGAAACGAAGCAGGUCAAAUCCCCCGUGCUGUCCAGUAGUGGGAUAAUACCUGUGAGUAGAUGCUGCAGUGCAGCCUUGGCGAAACAUCGAGACCUAAUCUUUC